rnacentral:rRNA from 1 species
GACGAACGCUGGCGGCGUGCUUAACACAUGCAAGUCGAACGGAAAGGCCCUGCUUUUGUGGGGUGCUCGAGUGGCGAACGGGUGAGUAACACGUGAGUAACCUGCCCUUGACUUUGGGAUAACUUCAGGAAACUGGGGCUAAUACCGGAUAGGAGCUCCUGCUGCAUGGUGGGGGUUGGAAAGUUUCGGCGGUUGGGGAUGGACUCGCGGCUUAUCAGCUUGUUGGUGGGGUAGUGGCUUACCAAGGCUUUGACGGGUAGCCGGCCUGAGAGGGUGACCGGCCACAUUGGGACUGAGAUACGGCCCAGACUCCUACGGGAGGCAGCAGUGGGGAAUAUUGCACAAUGGGCGGAAGCCUGAUGCAGCAACGCCGCGUGCGGGAUGACGGCCUUCGGGUUGUAAACCGCUUUCGCCUGUGACGAAGCGUGAGUGACGGUAAUGGGUAAAGAAGCACCGGCUAACUACGUGCCAGCAGCCGCGGUGAUACGUAGGGUGCGAGCGUUGUCCGGAUUUAUUGGGCGUAAAGGGCUCGUAGGUGGUUGAUCGCGUCGGAAGUGUAAUCUUGGGGCUUAACCCUGAGCGUGCUUUCGAUACGGGUUGACUUGAGGAAGGUAGGGGAGAAUGGAAUUCCUGGUGGAGCGGUGGAAUGCGCAGAUAUCAGGAGGAACACCAGUGGCGAAGGCGGUUCUCUGGGCCUUUCCUGACGCUGAGGAGCGAAAGCGUGGGGAGCGAACAGGCUUAGAUACCCUGGUAGUCCACGCUGUAAACGGUGGGUACUAGGUGUGGGGUCCAUUCCACGGGUUCCGUGCCGUAGCUAACGCUUUAAGUACCCCGCCUGGGGAGUACGGCCGCAAGGCUAAAACUCAAAGGAAUUGACGGGGCCCCGCACAAGCGGCGGAGCAUGCGGAUUAAUUCGAUGCAACGCGUAGAACCUUACCUGGGUUUGACAUGGAUCGGGAGUGCUCAGAGAUGGGUGUGCCUCUUUUGGGGUCGGUUCACAGGUGGUGCAUGCCUGUCGUCAGCUCGUGUCGUGAGAUGUUGGGUUAAGUCCCGCAACGAGCGCAAUCCUUGUUCACUGUUGCCAGCACGUUAUGGUGGGGACUCAGUGGAGACCGCCGGGGUCAACUCGGAGGAAGGUGGGGAUGACGUCAAGUCAUCAUGCCCCUUAUGUCCAGGGCUUCACGCAUGCUACAAUGGCUGGUACAGAGAGUGGCGAGCCUGUGAGGGUGAGCGAAUCUCGGAAAGCCGGUCUCAGUUCGGAUUGGGGUCUGCAACUCGACCUCAUGAAGUCGGAGUCGCUAGUAAUCGCAGAUCAGCAACGCUGCGGUGAAUACGUUCCCGGG